rnacentral:rRNA from 1 species
CAGUAGCCGCGGUAAUACGAAGGGGGCUAGCGUUAUUCGGAUUUACUGGGCGUAAAGCGCACGUAGGCGGACUUUUAAGUCAGGGGUGAAAUCCCGGGGCUCAACCCCGGAACUGCCUUUGAUACUGGGAGUCUUGAGUUCGAGAGAGGUGAGUGGAAUUGCGAGUGUAGAGGUGAAAUUCGUAGAUAUUCGCAGGAACACCAGUGGCGAAGGCGGCUCACUGGCUCGAUACUGACGCUGAGGUGCGAAGGCGUGGGAAGCAAACAGGAUUAGAGACCCCCGUAGUCCCUGUCUCUUAUAC